rnacentral:rRNA from 1 species
AUUGAACGCUGGCGGCAUGCCUUACACAUGCAAGUCGAACGGCAGCACGGGAGCAAUCCUGGUGGCGAGUGGCGAACGGGUGAGUAAAGUAUCGGAACGUGCCCAGUCGUGGGGGAGCACGUAGCGAAAGUUACGCUAAUACCGCAUACGAUCUAUGGAUGAAAGCGGGGGAUCGCAAGACCUUGCGCGAUUGGCGCGUCCGAUAGAAGAUUAGGUAGUUGGUGGGGUAAAGGCAAACCAAGCCGACGAUCUGUAGCUGGUCUGAGAGGACGACCAGCCACACUGGGAAUGAGACACGGCCCAGACUCCUACGGGAGGCAGCAGUGGGGAAUUUUGGACAAUGGGCGAAAGCCUGAUCCAGCCAUGCCGCGUGCAGGAUGAAGGCCUUCGGGUUGUAAACUGCUUUUGUACGGAACGAAAAGGUUUGGCCUAAUAAGCUGAGCUCAUGACGGUACCGUAAGAAUAAGCACCGGCUAACUACGUGCCAGCAGCCGCCGUAA